UACGUAGGGUGCAAGCGUUGUCCGGAAUUAUUGGGCGUAAAGAGCUCGUAGGCGGUUUGUUGCGUCGGCUGUGAAAUCCCGAGGCUCAACCUCGGGUCUGCAGUCGAUACGAGCAAACUAGAGUGUUGCAGGGGAGACUGGAAUUCCUGGUGUAGCGGUGAAAUGCGCAGAUAUCAGGAGGAACACCGGUGGCGAAGGCGGAUCUCUGGGCCAUUAACUGA
rnacentral:rRNA from 1 species